UUAGUACUCCCUCCGUCCGAAAAUACUUGUCGGAGGAAUGGAUGUAUCUAGACGUAUUUUAGUUCUAGAUACAUCCUUUUUUAUGCAUUUCUUCGACAAGUAUUUCCGGACGGAGGGAGUAUGUA
rfam:Triticum aestivum genome assembly, contig: Triticum_aestivum_CS42_TGACv1_scaffold_221753_3B